rnacentral:rRNA from 1 species
UGCUGCGACCAUACCACGUAGAAAGCACCGGUUCUCGUCCGAUCCCCGAAGCUAAGCUAUGUUGGGUCCGGUUAGUACUUGCAUGGGUGACCGGCUGGGAGUACCGGGUGUUGCUGACA